rnacentral:misc_RNA from 1 species
AACACAUUGCAGAGCUUACUGUACGAGAAACCCUAGAUUUUGCUGCUAGUUGUCAAGGUGCAAGUGAAGGCUUUGCAGCUUACAUGAAAGAUCUUAUCCGUUUGGAGAAGGAAAGGAACAUACGCCCAAGUCCAGAGAUCGAUGCUUUUAUGAAGGCAUCUUCUGUUGCUGGUAAAAAGCACAGUGUCUCAACAGACUACAUUUUAAAAGUGCUUGGUCUCGAUGUAUGCUCGGAG